UCUCUACAACUGCAAGAAGAAGAACCUUACAAAAAGGUUACAGCACUUUUUACAGGUCUCCUCCUUGUAUUUAACAGCAGAAUGACACUUUGAGAAAAUGUCACUUUAGUCUGUGCUUUCUAUGCUUACUAUCUACACAUCAAGCUUCUGUUAAGAGACACAAAGAUAGGGAGAGUAAAACAAAAUGGCCAUUUUGAGAAACCUCUAUUUCAUUUUUUUCCUUAAGUUAAUAAAAUGAUCUUGUUUUGUCAUUUUCCCCAGCCCAGUCAGGCCAUGACUGAGACACGAGCCACCUUAGAAGCGGAAAACGAAUGGAUGCAGUAUUAUACAAAAAUGCUUGAACAGUUGGUGAAAAGCACCCACCAGAUCAACAAAUGUACGAAGGAUAUCCUACGCCAUCAGAGGAAAGUGCUGAAAUCUGAAUUAAGAGCAAGAAGAAAGACCUAUGAAAAUGUAAGGUGCUGGACAUAGACUGCGGGUUCUGAUCUGAGGCACUGGGCAGAGAGACAGACCUGUGGUAAGUCCCUAUGACCAGGAUCUGAGGUAUCUUUUGAUUACUCAAAAAACAAGAGUCAGAUUUCACCGUAUGUCUUUGAUUUGCUAUUAAUUUUUAUUUGUAUUUUUUAUUUGCCAGAUCAGUCAUUUAAUCACCAAAUCAGAAUCACAUAAGCAAUGAAUGAGCAAUCCAGCAUUUCCAAUUGAUUAUUGUCCUUUCUGCAGUUGCCAUGCCUGCUUAGAUAAGUACAUCCUUGAAGGAUCCAUAGUCUGUGGGUGACAGAUGAUAAUAAAUAUAGAUCUGGUAUGAUGACUGUAUUUAUGCAUGCUUUCUAGAGCAAACCUGCUCAAGAGUGCAUUGCUAGCAGAUAUAUGUAUAACACGCAUGUCCCUACUCUGAAGAUAUUUUGCUGGCCUCACUUUCAGAAAGCAAUAAUGCUACUGGUUAAAUCCUUUAGAUUCUGCAAACCCAGCAGUUUGAAAACAUGCAAAUCUAAGUAGAUCAAUAGGUACCGCUCCAGCGGGAAGGUAUCCACAUGACCCUGGAGGUUGUCUCUUCGGCUUACAAAUGGAGAUGAGCGCCAACCCCGAGAAUUGGACACAACUAGACUUAAUGUCAGAGGAAAACCUGUACCUUACCUAAGUCCUUUAGAAAUGAAGAUAAGGAUUUUUUAAAAUAACAGUUGUUUGUCCAAAUGGACAGCAGCCAGUUCUAAUUUUGAACACUAAGUAGAGAGACAUAUCUACAUUAUGAAAGGACACAUAUUAAGACUGUGGAAGAUAAAGAAACACUAUAUAAAAUUUAAGUGAAGCUGAAUGGAGACAGUAUAACAGGUUGGAUCUACAGUGCCAUAUAAUCCAGAUAAUUUCCUUUAAAUUGGAGUAUAUGAGUCUACACGGCCAUACAAUCCAGUUCAAAGCAGAUAAUCUGGAUUUUAUAUGAUAGUGCAGAUGGGGCCACAGAAGUAUAGUGUUUUUUCUUAGUGCUGAAGUCAGUUUUUCUGGAACACUGACUUCAGACUUCUUAGCAUCCCCCCCCCCCCCCCCCCCGGGACACACAUACAUACCG
rnacentral:lncRNA from 1 species